rnacentral:lncRNA from 1 species
UUUCACCCUUCGAAUCCAUUCAGAGUGCUUCGAAUAUUAAUUUGAAGUGUAACCCUAAAACUCAAACCCUAUAGGAAUUUGGUCAAACUCCUUCCAGGCAAUCCCUGGCAUUCCCCUUCCCAAACCAUGCCACCCACGACUCCCAAACAACAUCAAUCACUAAGAAAUUCAUAUCUGAGACCUUACUGCGGUCUCAGAAUCAUAAAUGCCCUUCUUGAACUUCUGAACCUGUUAUCCACCAUGCCAUCUGCCCUAGAGGGUUAAAAAACCUCUACCGAAGGGGUCAGGAACUAACAAAAUGGUGUCAAAUGGAUGUGCAUGUGUAGAACAAAAGCUAAGUACUCUGCCUUUACUUGUAUAUAUUUGCUUCAUUUUGUUAAUUGUUAGAUGCUUUGAUUUCUUGUUUGUUAUUCCACAAUCUCGUAUGAAGUAGGUUCAUUAGUUAUAUGCCCUUGGUUGUUAUUAGUUUAAAAUCCCUUCAUAGCUUUUAUGAUUUGAUAUCCUGUUAAUAUUAGCUCCUUGAUUCUGAAAGCAUAGUUUGUUGAUUCUUCAGUAGUGUGAUUCCUAUGUUUUAUUGACCUUCAUCUCAUGAUCUUCAUUUGUUUAUUCCCUCAUAUUCUAAUUAGUUUGGUUAGGUGUUUAAGCUACUAAGUGUUUGAUCUUCAAAAUAAUUUUUGAUCUUCAGUACUGGCAUAGUUUAGGUUGAUUUGUUUUGGUUGAACCUUUAAUUGUUUCCUGAUUUUGCUCAUCAACUGAAUGUGCAAUCCCUGUUACUCAUUUCAAUCCAUGUGUCAAGUUUUUA